GGGGUAUUCAUCUAGUCUGGCUUAGGAUGCGACGCUUCCAACGUCGUCACGAGGGUUCGAAUCCUUCAUACCUCAC
rnacentral:tRNA from 1 species